rnacentral:lncRNA from 1 species
AGGGUCGUAGGGGACCGCCUGGGGAUCCCCGGACGGCUGCGAGGAAUGAGCGGUUGGCUCGGGCUGGUUUCCUCCCUCCACCGCCUGCUUGUUUCGCCAUGCCCGGGCCGGACGGUGGGGCUGCAGCGGCGAAAGCGACUGAAGUCCGGGAGCAGUCGCAUGAGCUUCCCGGUCACCAGGAGGCCCCGGGAACAGACACCUCACCCUGACAUUGUGGCAGGAACUUCUGGAUUGCUUUCCAAAGUGGCUGCACUGUUUUCUAUCCCCACUGGGCAGGAAAACAUCUAAGAAAGGAGGCUCCCCCCUUCCCUUGCAGGGUUACCAGCAAUUAAAAAGAAGUACUAGAGAGGCAAAUAUCGGCAGUAUACAUCUAAGCGCUGGUCGGAAAAGAAGGAACUCAGCCCAAGAACUUGCCCAAUCUGAUACUGGAGGUGCCACUCAAGAACCACUCCCUCCAAGAUGUUUUCCUGGAUUUCCUCAGCCUAAAGUAAUCCCUCUUUUUCCUGGGCUAUACCAUCUGGAACAGAUGACUUCCAAGGACACCGUAGCAAAGAAAAAGAGAACUGGAAGCCCAUGUGCCUUAAUCGCUUCAUCCUAGAGGAGGAGGAUAACCAGUGGAGCCUUUUCUGGAUUUCUCACUAGAAGUAAAGACCAAAUUUCCAGAAGGAACCUGAGAGAUAAAAAGUGGUUGGCUGCUCCUGACCUGACUCAUAGUGUUUAACUGAACCAUACCACUAGUGUAUACUAGUGUGUGUGUAUGUACAUGCAUACACACAUGCACACACACAUUCACACACAAUCCUAUGGUAUUUGGUGACUUUGGAUGCCCAGCUCUUGCAACAAUUUCCUGCUGUCAUUCUUUUCCCUUUGAAUCUCAGGGGUGAGCAAACUAAAGAAAUACUAUCAUCUUACUGCUUUUAGUAUAUUCCAUAGAAAAGGAGUGGCUGGAGUCAGUGUAGAUCAACCCAAGCAGUACAAAUCUGCCAGAAUUGCAGCUCAGCUUCCUUACCUCCAGCAUGUGUACCUUUCUGAAGGGUAGGCCCUUAAGCCAGACAUAAGUAAGUUAUCCACUCUGUGCAUAACUGUCUGACUUGGCUUAGAAGCAUGAAAGGGGCAGAAAUGUAAGAUGGGUAAAGAAGGGCUUCAUCUGAAAUAGGGCCAUGAUGAUUAGCUCUCUCUUUCCUUCCUUUGGCUUCAUUGCUGUAUUCCAUGUGGGUCUUGAUAUCUUGAAACUGGAUGAGAUACCCAAAUAGUCAGUCCCUGAAUAUAAAUCAUUUCCUUGUACAGAAUCACUGCCAAACUCAGUAUGGUUAAAAGAUUUUUAACACCCAGCUGCAGCAUUCACUCUGGUUAGAAUUGGCCAUUUAAAUUUAUUUCACAUAUGUAAGUAUCAUAUCCUUUAUAAUGCAUUCUUAAUUGUUGCUCAGUUCUUCCAGAUUGAAUUCCUUUAAAAAAUUCCUUAUGUAAUCUUUUAAUUCUAGUUGGAAAACAUCACUUGACAGUUGCUGUUUAUACAGGCAUGCCUCGUUUUAUUGUGCCUGGCUUUAUUGUACUUUGCAGAUACUGUGUUUUUCACAAAUGGAAGGUUUGUGGCAACCCUGCGUUAAGCAAGUCUGUUGGCACCAUUUUCUCGACAGCAUGUGCUAACUUUGUCUCUGUCUCACAUUUUGGUAAUUCUCUCAAUGUUUCAAACUUUUUCAUUAUGAUUACAUCUGUUAUGUGGAGCUGUGAUCAGUGAUCUUUGAUGUUAACAUUGUAAUUGUUUUGGGGUGCCACAACUGUGCCCAGAUAAGACAGUGAACUUAAUUGGUAAAUGUUUUAUGUGUUCAGACUGUUCCACUGACUAGCCCUUCUUCAAACUCUCUCACUCUCCUUGGGCCUCCCUAUUCCCUGAAAUACAACAAUAUUGAUAUUAAGCCAAUUAAUAACCCUACAAUGAUUUCCAAGUGUUUAAGUGAAAGGAAAGACAUGUAUGUUUCACCUUAAAUCAAAAGCUAGAAAUGGCCAGGCGUGGAGGCUCACGCCUGUAAUCCCAGCACUUUGGGAGGCCAAGGCGGGCGGAUCACAAGGUCAGGAGAUCGAGACCAUCCUGGCUAACACGGUGAAACCCUGUCUCUACUAAAAAAUACAAAAAAUUAGCCGGGCGUAGUGGCAGGCGCCUGUAGUCCCAGCUACAUGGGAGGCUGAGGCAGGAGAAUGGCGUGAACCUGGGAGGCGGAGCUUGCAGUGAGCCGAGAUCGCGCCACUGCAUUCCAGCCUGGGUGACAGAGCGAGACUCCAUCUCAAAAAA